rnacentral:tRNA from 1 species
GCAUCGGUGGUUCAGCGGUAGAACGCUCGCCUGCAACGCGGGCGGCCCGGGUUCGAUUCCCAGCCGAUGCA